AGUCAUUGAUCGAAAUAUGUAUUUUGGGGACCAAAUAUGUUCCAGAGACAUUGUCCUCAGGAAGAAUUGUGGUUCACGUGUCAUCCUUAACCAGAAGUCUACUUAUCUCUGGAGCAAGAUAAAGUGCUGGCGUAGAAUAAAAAAAUCGCAGCCAACAGAAAGCAAAAACAUCUACCUACAUUGGAAUAAGUUUCCCAGCGACUUGGGGGCCCUUAAGACACCACCUUCUCUCCUGGCAGUGAGGUGGAAAGAAGCAAACUGAAAAAGAGAGAAGGUGAAAACACACUGUGCUGGUGCAUGAAGAAUGAUAAACAG